rfam:Dipodomys ordii contig_22834, whole genome shotgun sequence.
CAAAAGGCUCUUUUUAGAGCCACCCAAGUCUUCAAAAAAAGAGCUA